rnacentral:lncRNA from 1 species
AUGAGUAACUUAUGCUUUUUUUUCCUCUAUAGAAUUGCUGCUGUUAAGAAGAGAGUUGGUCCUGAGAUCCUUUCCCCAGCUACAAAGAUGGGCAUCCAAUUCAGUUCCAAAGAAAAACAUAGGCCUUGCAUGGAAACUCUUAAGAAAUGUCAAGAGCUGGGUCCUGUUGAAAAGGUUAGUAGUUAUAGAAAAAUAUUUCAAAAACAUAAAUGCGGCAGUUU